UACGAGGGGUGCAAGCGUUGCUCGGAAUUAUUGGGCGUAAAGGGUAGGUAGGUGGUCUCAUUUGUCAGGGGUGAAAGCCUUGGGCUUGACCCAAGAAGUGCCCCUGAAACGGUGAGACUAGAGUGCUGGAGAGGGUCGUGGAAUUCCCGGUGUAGCGGUGAAAUGCGUAGAGAUCGGGAGGAACACCAGAGGCGAAGGCGGCGACCUGGACAGCUACUGACACUCAACUACGAAAGCGUGGGGAGCAAACAGG
rnacentral:rRNA from 1 species